rnacentral:rRNA from 1 species
GUGGGGAAUCUUCCGCAAUGGACGAAAGUCUGACGGAGCAACGCCGCGUGAGUGAAGAAGGUUUUCGGAUCGUAAAGCUCUUUCGUUAGGGACGAACGUGCUCUUUGUGAAUAAUGAGGAGUAAUGACGGUACCUAAAUAAGAAGCCACGGCUAACUACGCGCCAGCAGCCGCGGUAAUACGUAGGUGGCAAGCGUUGUCCGGAAUUAUUGGGCGGAAAGCGCGCGCAGGCGGGAUAUCAAGUCUGUCUUAAAAGUGCGAGGCUCAACCUCGUGAGGGGACAGAAACUGGUAUUCUUGAGUGUCGGAGAGGAAAGUGGAAUUCCAAGUGUAGCGGUGAAAUGCGUAGAGAUUUGGAAGAACACCAGUGGCGAAGGCGACUUUCUGGACGAUGUCUGACGCUGAGGCGCGAAAGCUAGGGGAGCGAACGGGAUUAGAAACCCGAGUAGUCC